AGAGCGAACGCUGGCGGCAGGCUUAACACAUGCAAGUCGAGCGGAAAGGCCCUUCGGGGUACUCGAGCGGCGAACGGGUGAGUAACACGUGGGCAACCUGCCCUUAGCUCUGGGAUAGCUCCGGGAAACCGGAAUUAAUACCGGAUAUGACCUAGGCCGACAUCGGCCGUGGUGGAAAGUUUUUCGGCUAGGGAUGGACUCGCGGCCUAUCAGCUAGUUGGUGGGGUAAUGGCCUACCAAGGCGACGACGGGUA
rnacentral:rRNA from 1 species